rnacentral:miRNA from 1 species
AACCCUCAAAGGCUUCCUAG